CCAUGGAGUGCCUAGGUUAGGGUCAGGAAGAGAGAGAAAACAUAUAUACAGAUGGUGUUAGCAGGUGUUUGUGUAUCUCCAUGGUUUUAGCCAUCCUUGGUAAUUGAUGCUAGGAGAGGAUGCAUCCUCCAUGGAUAUAGGGACGAUACUGCUGUCUAGGAUGUCUGACUAUGGAUGAUCAGACCAAUGUGAGCUCGGAAGGCUUUACCACAAAUAAUUUGUAUAAACUUUUGGAGGUGAGAUCUCUCUAAAUUUGCACAUCUUGCUUUUCUUCCAAGCUAAUAUAAUUCUACUUUGCUCAUAGAAAACAGAAUCAUGAGAGGCAAUUUGUCAUAAUGGUUGUCAUUGGUCUCCAUCAGGAAACCAUGGGUUCAUAACCCAUCUCCCACACAUACUCACUUCAUGACCCUGGGCAAGUAGUCACUCUCAGUGUCUCCAGGUAACUCUCUAGACUCAGCUGUAGAUCAGGUGUUAAUAGAGGAAAGCUUCCCUGUGAGAGCCUGCACCUGAGCUAUCCUAUUUAGUCUACUCCAUCCUCCUCCAUUCAUUUGCAUUUGCAUGUAUUAUAAUACAAAGUGUAAAGUCAUAUUUUGUUAAAAUAAAAAAUUUAAAAGUGACUGAGUGGCUCUCACUUCAUCAUAAACUUUGACUUGUAAGACUGAUUCAGUUUUCUCUGGUCCCUAUUUGACAAAAACUGAGUUCAUUGAUAAAGCACCUGUCUGAAAAGUCUUCCUCAUAAUGUGGAGCCAAUGGGAUGAUAAUAUCUUUUCACAGAUAUGGGCAUAAGAUCUGCUAUAAAAUUAAAUUUUAAAGUUUGACAUCUAGUCUGAGCUUUAUAUUUCAUAGAACUUGGAAACUGGAAUUGGGGAAGUAGUGGGAGUGCUAGGGAGAGAAAUGAUAGGAUGCUCAUGUUCUGAGAGAGGAAAUGCAACUGAUUUCUUUAUAUAAGCCCCACCUUUGGGCUGUGGAGAACUCAUAGGAUCUGUGUUCCAGCUGUUAGUGCUUAUACCAGUGAGAUCAACUUCAGGCCUGAAGCCAGAGGACCCCACCCAGCCCCCAGGCCUGGAGGGAACGCUCCCUAAUUGGAGCAUUCAAAGGCUAAAGUCUUCUGAAGUUCUGAGUCCAUUCUCCUCGGACCAAAGACAAUUCCUCCAAAAAAAAAAAUCCAAGAAUUUGGCUUUAGAUUUAGUACAUCUUACAAGACUGUUCCUUCGUUGAUCCUAGACAGGAAGUUCUCUCCCAAUACAACCAAAGACCAUGUUAUCCUUUUAUGACAACCACAUCGUAUUCUUGGGCAUGCACAUAUCUGGCAUUAAGUAAUUCAUAGGGAUCUGUUUCACUUGCAACCAAUCUAGCAAGUCAAUUAAAAUGAGUUAGAAAAGAAACUCAUCAAAAAUUCUUUAAGAUUUA
rnacentral:lncRNA from 1 species